AAGAGUCGGGGUCCACCAGGGCCCGAACUCCCACCCUUUGUCGUCGCGAAUUCGUUGCCUCGGCGGGCAGGCGGCCCUCGAAAGCCGCCCCCGGGCCCCACGGCCCACCCGUCGCGGGACAAAACCAACCCUGCUUUUUAACAAUGAAGUCGGAGCGAUUUAAAAAAUGAAUCA
rnacentral:misc_RNA from 1 species